GUGCAAUUCAUAGUGCGUUAGAUGCACAAAUAUAUAUGCCACAAAUAAAUCAUCUUCAAAACAUUCUGGCAUUACUCUCUGAAUUUUCACAAUUUUUUAUCGGAGGUGACCCCAGUCAAAAAAUGUGAAGAAAAAAAAUCUGUUUUUUGGAGUAAAUGCGGUACUGCUAAAAAGGGCCUUAAGAUAAUGCCCACUUUCUCCAAUGAUUCUUUAUAUAUCAUCAAGUACUGAUUAU
rnacentral:lncRNA from 1 species